AUACUUCUUCCCUUGAUUUCCAGGAUAUGUUGCCUCUUGAUUCUCUGUCUUCACAGUCUGCCCCUUCUCAGUGUGCUCUUCCAAUGACCUCACUUCAAUUACAUCCAUAAUGGACCUACUUUCAAAUAUGAUCACAUUCUGAGGGUCUCCGUUGCUCAUCCCGCGGGUUGGGACAAACUGGCGCCCAACGUGAGAGCUCAAGUACGAGGGACACAGUGAGGGACGCCGUCGAGGUCAGCUGGCACGGAAGGAUUAAGAAACCCAGAGGAAAGCAUCAUGGGAACCUGCCAAGGACUCGCACUCUGAACCUUAGCUCCUUGAGGGGAGGCAUUUUGCUUAGUUCACAGCUGUACCUCUGGUGCCUGCAAUAG
rnacentral:lncRNA from 1 species